UACGGAGGGUGCAAGCGUUAUCCGGAUUUACUGGGUUUAAAGGGUGCGUAGGUGGGUAGGUAAGUCAGUUGUGAAAUCUUCGAGCUUAACUCGGAAACUGCCAUUGAUACUAUUUAUCUUGAAUACUUUGGAGGUAAGCGGAAUAUGUCAUGUAGCGGUGAAAUGCUUAGAUAUGACAUAGAACACCAAUUGCGAAGGCAGCUCACUACACGAAUAUUGACACUGAGGAACGAAAGCGUGGGGAUCAAACAGG
rnacentral:rRNA from 1 species